rnacentral:rRNA from 1 species
UGGGGAAUAUUGCGCAAUGGAGGAAACUCUGACGCAGCAACGCCGCGUGAGUGAAGAAGGUUUUCGGAUCGUAAAGCUCUGUCUUUGGGGACGAAUAAAAUGACGGUACCCAAGGAGGAAGCCCCGGCUAACUACGUGCCAGCAGCCGCGGUAAUACGUAGGGGGCAAGCGUUGUCCGGAAUUACUGGGCGUAAAGAGUACGUAGGCGGUUUGUAAAGUUAGAUGUGAAAGUUUGCAGCUCAACUGUAAAAGUGCAUUUAAAACUGGCAGUCGUGAGUCUCGGAGGGGUAAGCGGAAUUCCUAGUGUAGCGGUGAAGGCGUAGAGAUUAGGAAGAACACCGGGGGCGAAGGCGGCUUACUGGACGAGUACUGACGCUCAGGUACGAAAGCGUGGGAGCAAACA